UACAGAGGUCCCAAGCGUUGUUCGGAUUCAUUGGGCGUAAAGGGUGCGUAGGCGGCGCGGUAAGUCGGGUGUGAAAUCUCGGAGCUUAACUCCGAAACUGCAUUCGAUACUGCCGUGCUUGAGGACUGGAGAGGAGACUGGAAUUUACGGUGUAGCGGUGAAAUGCGUAGAUAUCGUAAGGAAGACCAGUGGCGAAGGCGGUUCUCUGGGCCUGUACUGACGCUGAGGAGCGAAAGCGUGGGGAGCGAAUAGG
rnacentral:rRNA from 1 species